ACGGAGGGUGCAAGCGUUAUCCGGAUUCACUGGGUUUAAAGGGUGCGUAGGCGGGUAAGUAAGUCCGUGGUGAAAUCUCUGAGCUUAACUCAGAAACUGCCGUGGAUACUAUUUGCCUUGAAUAUUGUGGAGGUGAGCGGAAUAUGUCAUGUAGCGGUGAAAUGCUUAGAUAUGACAUAGAACACCAAUUGCGAAGGCAGCUCACUACACAAUCAUUGACGCUGAGGCACGAAAGCGUGGGGAUCAAACAGGAUUAGAUACCCUGGUAGUCCACGCCCUAAACGAUGAUUACUCGACAUCAGCGAUACACUGUUGGUGUCUGAGCGAAAGCAUUAAGUAAUCCACCUGGGAAGUACGAUCGCAAGAUUG
rnacentral:rRNA from 1 species